UACGGAGGAUCCAAGCGUUAUCCGGAAUCAUUGGGUUUAAAGGGUCCGUAGGCGGUUUUUUAAGUCAGUGGUGAAAGCCCAUCGCUCAACGGUGGAACGGCCAUUGAUACUGCAAGACUUGAAUUAUUGGGAAGUAACUAGAAUAUGUAGUGUAGCGGUGAAAUGCUUAGAGAUUACAUGGAAUACCAAUUGCGAAGGCAGGUUACUACCAAUAUAUUGACGCUGAUGGACGAAAGCGUGGGGAGCGAACAGG
rnacentral:rRNA from 1 species